rnacentral:lncRNA from 1 species
AAAAGAGCAUUCUCUGAAAAUUAUCAGUAAGUUCGCAUCCCAAUGAUUCUUCUUCUAAUUUUUAUGUCUAUUGUUCACGACAGACAGUUACAAAUAACUAAUUUACAUUAAAUCAAGUUGAUUGACGCAUGUUUUUAUUUUUUCAAAAAUAAAAAGAGUCAUGAUGUAUCUACUCACAUUAUUUAUUUUUAUUUCAGUUUAGCUACCAGAAAGUGCUCUGCUUGGAUCAAAGGCAAACAAUGCCUCUAAGACAUUGUUCAGAAUGUUCCCACGGUUUCAUCAAAUCAAAUUUGCAUUCGUGCUUAAUCGGACUACUACCUUCCCAGAAAUUCUUUGAGGUUUUUUAAUAAGUUCCAAUGACUUGCAAAUGCCCACUUGCUAUGAAUUUCAGGACCCAGCUACUGUUUGACAAGAAUAAUU